GGAGGGCCAUAGCUCAGUGGUACAGAGCACCUGCUUUGCAGGCAGAAGGUCCCAGGUUCAAUCCCUGACAGCAUCUCCA